rnacentral:rRNA from 1 species
GUCCACGCCCUAAACGAUGUCAACUAGGUGUUGGGUGGGUAAAACCAUUUAGUACCAGAGCUAACGCGUGAAGUUGACCGCCUGGGGAGUACGGCCGCAAGGUUAAAACUCAAAGGAAUUGACGGGGACCCGCACAAGCGGUGGAUGAUGUGGAUUAAUUCGAUGCAACGCGAAAAACCUUACCUACCCUUGACAUGUCAGGAACUUGCCAGAGAUGGCUUGGUGCUCGAAAGAGAACAUGAACACAGGUGCUGCAUGGCUGUCGU